AAUACUCAAUUUCCCACAAUGAACUGCGGCGGGCUGUUGGCUUCGCUGUUUGUCCGACUGUCGCUUCAACACAAUGCAGCUUUUAAUGGAGCUGUGAGUGGUGCGGGGCAGAAAACGCAGCACUACGGCAGGCUCGUCCGGAGACUGUAGAAUUCAAGCGGACCGAGGCUGCAAAGCUGUGACGAACCAGCCGGGUGGCGGUUCCUAACAUCUAUUAUUUAUACCGUUUUCUCUCGGACUCAUUCACGGACUCUGGUGCUGCUGUGGACACUCUCAGGAUUCCAACCUGCAACCUCCCAAGAGCAAGCGCAGGCACUGACCUUUGACCUCCACUAGCACAGGUUGCCCCAGGUCUUUAUCUGAAGGAGACGAAGAUUUCUAAAUAAGCACACAAGAAAAAGAACAACCUUCCAUCCCAGCUUUCUCACCCACAUGUGAGCAGCCAUGCUCUCUCUGCACCACCCUUCGAGGGGCACCCCUCCGUAGUCGGAUUUUUUUUUUUUUUUUUUCACAUUUAUU